AGAGUUUGAUCCUGGCUCAGGAUGAACGCUAGCGGCAGGCUUAACACAUGCAAGUCGAGGGGUAGGAGAAGCUUGCUUUUCUGAGACCGGCGCACGGGUGCGUAACGCGUAUGCAAUCUACCUUUCACAAAGGGAUAGCCCAGAGAAAUUUGGAUUAAUACCUUAUAGUAUAAUUGAAUGGCAUCAUUUAAUUAUUAAAGAUUUAUCGGUGAAAGAUGAGCAUGCGUCCCAUUAGCUAGUUGGUAUGGUAACGGCAUACCAAGGCUACGAUGGGUAGGGGUCCUGAGAGGGAGAUCCCCCACACUGGUACUGAGACACGGACCAGACUCCUACGGGAGGCAGCAGUGAGGAAUAUUGGACAAUGGGCGCAAGCCUGAUCCAGCCAUGCCGCGUGCAGGAUGACGGUCCUAUGGAUUGUAAACUGCUUUUAUACAGGAAGAAACACCUCUACGUGUAGAGACUUGACGGUACUGUAAGAAUAAGGAUCGGCUAACUCCGUGCCAGCAGCCGCGGUAAUACGGAGGAUCCAAGCGUUAUCCGGAAUCAUUGGGUUUAAAGGGUCCGUAGGCGGUCAAGUAAGUCAGUGGUGAAAGCCCAUCGCUCAACGGUGGAACGGCCAUUGAUACUGCUUGACUUGAAUUAUUAGGAAGUAACUAGAAUAUGUAGUGUAGCGGUGAAAUGCUUAGAGAUUACAUGGAAUACCAAUUGCGAAGGCAGGUUACUACUAAUGGAUUGACGCUGAUGGACGAAAGCGUGGGUAGCGAACAGGAUUAGAUACCCUGGUAGUCG
rnacentral:rRNA from 1 species